UACGUAGGGGGCAAGCGUUGUCCGGAAUCAUUGGGCGUAAAGAGCGCGUAGGCGGUCCGGUAAGUCCGCUCUGAAAGCCCGGGGGCUCAACCCCCGGGAGGCGGGCGGAUACUGUCGGGCUAGAGUCCGGAAGAGGCGAGUGGAAUUCCUGGUGUAGCGGUGAAAUGCGCAGAUAUCAGGAGGAACACCGAUGGCGAAGGCAGCUCGCUGGGACGGUACUGACGCUGAGGUGCGAAAGCGUGGGGAGCAAACAGG
rnacentral:rRNA from 1 species